rnacentral:rRNA from 1 species
ACGGGGUGCAGCAGGCGCGAAACCUCUGCAAUGCGGGAAACCGUGACAGGGGGAUCCCAAGUGCUCAUGCAUUGCAUGGGCUGUUCUUUGGUCUAAGUAACCAGAGGAGUAAGGGCUGGGCAAGACCGGUGCCAGCCGCCGCGGUAAUACCGGCAGCUCAAGUGGUAGCCGCGAUUAUUGGGCCUAAAGCGUUCGUAGCUGGAUAAGUAAGUCUUUGGUUAAAUCCUGCGACUUAACCGUGGGAAAUCUAGAGAUACUGCUUGUCUUGAGACCGGGAGAGGUUGGAGGUACUCCCAGGGUAGGGGUGAAAUCCUGUAAUCCUGGGGGGACCACCUGUGGCGAAGGCGUCCAACUGGAACGGGUCUGACGGUGAGGGACGAAACCUAGGGGAGCGAGCCGGAUUAGAUACCCGGGUAGUCCAGGGUGUAAACGCUGCGGGCUUGGUGUUGGGGGUCCUUUGAGGGCGCCCAGUGCCGGAGAGAAGUUGUUAAGCCUGCUGCUUGGGGAGUACGUCCGCAAGGAUGAAACUUAAAGGAAUUGGCGGGGGAGCAC